UACGUAGGCGGUCUGUUAAGUCAGAUGUGAAAGCCCCGGGCUUAACCUGGGAACUGCAUUUGAUACUGGCAGACUAGAGUAUGGUAGAGGGGGGUAGAAUUCCUAGUGUAGCGGUGAAAUGCGUAGAUAUUAGGAGGAAUACCAGUGGCGAAGGCGGCCCCCUGGACCAAUACUGACGCUGAGGUACGAAAGCGUGGGUAGCGAACA
rnacentral:rRNA from 1 species